rnacentral:lncRNA from 1 species
CAGCAAACCAAUGUUACUUAACUUAUAACUUUUGCUUCUUUAGAUGUUUUUUUAUAAAUCUAGGAAACAAGAUCAUAGAUUGAUUUUCAGUAUAAAUUAUACUUGCUCAUAUAAAUGAGAUUUCAUAGAUCAGAGUUUCAAACUGGGAUGCACAGGGAUAGAUUGUUAGAACUUGAAUUUGCUAGUUUGAAAAUACAGGCAUACUUUGUUAUUGCAACAGUUAAAUUCCAUGCCACUAUUGGAUGGAAUCUAACUGUUGCAAUAACACUAAACAGUAAAGCUAAUCACAGUCAUUUUUCAUUUGCUAAUGCACAUAAAAACCUAAAAACAUAUUUACACUAAUAUUUAUUAACUAUACAAUCAUGCUAGGCC